GCCAACCGCCGUUAAACCCCACCGAAGAAAAAUAAGAAACUGCUUAGCGAUUUCGAUGCAUGCCUCGGAGCUCGAUAUCAAACGCAACAUCACUAAUCAAAUGUAGCGAAAAGCUUAAAUUGCUAGCAGCAAAAUAAGACAAACCUGUUGUGUAUAGAAUAGCACAAAAUACUUCGUUGGUUUUACCCGCAACCCUUCUGGUGGGAUACAAAACACACAGAGAAAAUGGCGGAACUUCAGAAGGAGGCAGGACUGCCCGAAAUCAUUCGGGAGAACGGAGACGAAGAGGAGCCGGCUAAUUCAAAGGCAGAGGAGAUGGACACCUCAGAAGACCUGCAAGAUGACAACCUGAUCAAGCGGGAACACUUACACAGUUCUAAUAAUGAGCUGCAAGAUGGACAUUUGGCAGUUAGGAGGAAUGUAAUAUUAGAACAAACAAAAUUCAACCAAAGACAACAAGAAGCAGGAGAGACAGCUGAUGAUUUUAUCUCUGCACUUCAUUGUUUGUCAGAACAUUGUGGUUAUGGAGCUCUGCUCAGUGAGAAAAUAAGAAACAGGCUUGUCAUGGGCUUACGUGACAGAAGACUGUCUGAGCAAUUACAAAUGGACCCAGAAAUAACACUGGAUGACGCUGUCACACGCAUUCGUCAAAAGCAACAGGACCUGCCAGAGAAUACCUUUAAAGCUACCAGCAAUGCUGCAAAUGUAGAGGAUGUGCUUUCACAUAGCAAACAGCAAUGCCCAGCCAAUUCCCAGUGCCAAUCAGAGAAGAAUCAAAACUCAGAAAGACCACAACAACCCCAAACAACGCAGGAGAAUGAAGAGGAGCCUCUAGAUACUGAUGACUUCAUUGAGGAUUUCAGACCUGGAGGAGAAAAGCCUCACUACUGCGCCUACUGCGGUCAGAACUUUCAAAAAGUAAGGGAUCUUAUAAGACACCAUCAAACACAUACAGGAGUGAAAGAAAUGUUCUGCCCUGAUUGUGGGAAAGCUUUUACCCGCUCUGAUAAUCUGAAAAGGCACCAGAGGACACAUAAGAAAGGGGGGGAUUGUCUUUACUGUGAUAAAAGCUUUUCUGAACCGGGAGAACUAAAAAUACACAUGGAAGUACAUAGUCAAGAAAGGCCAUACCUUUGCCCUGACUGUGGGAAGCAAUUCAAACAGUUAUGGGUGUUGAAAAAUCACCAGCUAAAACAUACAGAGAAGAUCUCACCACAGGAAAGGCAUCACUACUGCUCCGACUGUGGAAAGAGCUUUACACGAAGGCAUAGUCUUAGAAGACAUCAGCAAGAAACGCAUACAGAUGAAAAGCCGUACCACUGCUCUAAUUGCGACAAAAGUUUUGCGGGACGUGAGAGACUUAAAAAACAUCAACUAACACACAAGGAAAAGAAACAUAAACAUUACCGCUGUUCAAGGUGUGAUAAAAGAUUUCCUGACAUGGCAAAACUAAGAUCACACCUUCCAGUACAUUCUGUAGACCUGGCACUCCACUGCUCGGACUGUGGAAAGUGUUUCUUAAACAAGACAAAGUUUGAAAGACACACACGAAUACACACUGCAAGUGGAAAAAAGCCAUUCCUCUGCACUGACUGCGGGGAUGGUUUUACAACUUUACGACGGUUGGAAGAGCACCAGCGAACACACACCGGAGAGAAACCGUACCACUGCACUGAAUGCGGGAAGCGUUUUGCACGUGAAUGGACAUUAAAGAGUCACAAGCAAGUGCACAAGUUAAAACACUCUGGAGAAAGAGCUGCCUAUCCUUGCUCUGAAUGUGGAAAGUCCUUCUCCCGUUCACGUGAUGUGAUGACUCAUGUGAGAAGGGUGCAUAAUAAAGAGAGACCUUUCCAGUGCUUCUGCUGUGAAAAACGUUUCUUCCAAAAGAACUUCCUUACAGUACACAUGAGAAUUCACACUGGAGAGAAACCGUACCAGUGCUCAGACUGUGGACAAAGCUUCUCCCAAAUUGGCGACCGAAAACGGCACCAGAAGAGGCAACACUCUGGAGAGGAGACUUGACCUCUAUACAACAGUGUGGAUGGCCCCCUAAUUUGGGAAAAAGUCGAUGACUCCGCCCUCCUCGUGAACUGGAAACCGAUGAGUGGUCGCCAUAUGUAGGAGAUUGCCUCCUUUGUCAGAGGAACAUCAGGGGAGAAUCUCAAUUGCAUAUUCGCAUCCCCUCUCCUCCUUCUCAAAACCCAUUGGAGGAGAAGGUCAUAGGGGAGGGACCUCUGGCUUUCUCAUCCAAUGGGUUUGAGAAGAGAGGAGAGGGAACACGAGGAGUACUCAAUUGACAUUCUCCCCCUGUGUAUCCUACAGGCUCCCGAUCACAAAACAAAUAUUUUAUCUAUAAAAUGUCUGGAACAACCAGCUAAACUUGUUUUUACCACUUUACACAUAUUUUGGGAUUCCUCCUCUGUAAGCAUAAUUUGCUUGAUGACGCGCAAGUGGAGUAGGAGAGUAAUUUCAUACAUGCUAUGGUUUGUUUUCACGUUUCCUUUCACUGAUUACUUUUGAUCUUUUUCAAAAGGAGGCGAGGAGAGUUUGCGAAACCAAUUGAGAAUCUCCCACAGAGACGCUCAAUAAGAAAGGACUACAACAGUAAAACAAACAUACGAUAUUGUCAUAGCAUCAGUCUUUAUUGUAGUUUUUUUUGUCAACUUUGCCAAACAAUUAUUUGAAUAUUUUGUAUCAAAAGUUAACUAUUUUUAUACAUUUUUAUUUUAUCACCGUCGUAGUUUCCACCCGGCAAAUUUGUAUUUGUUAAUCCUCCCCUGCACAAAGCAUCCCAUAAGGCCUGGCGGGUAGGGGCGUUGGGCCAGUAACCCGAAAGGUUGCUGGAUCGAAUCCCCGAGCUGACAAGGUAAAAAUCUGUCGUUCUGCCCCUGAGCAAAGCAGUUAACCUACUGUUCCCAGGGGCGACGAAGACAUGGAUGUCGAUUUAAAGCAGCCCUCCGCACUGCUCUAAUUCAGAGGGGUUGGGUUAAAUGCGGAAGUCACAUUUCAGUUGAAUGCAUUCAGUUGUACAACUGACUAGGUAUUCCCCUUUCCCUAUGGCCUGACUCCUGUGUGCACUUGCAUGUGGGUUUUGACAUGAUUGGCUUAUCUGAAUUGUGCCGCGCAGACAUCACACCAGAGAGAACAGUCUAUGACUAGGGUGGCUGGAGUCUUUGGCAAUUUCUAGGGCUUUCUCUGACACCACCUGGUAUAGAGGUCCUGGAUGACAGGAAGCUUGGCCCCAGAGAUUUACUGGGCUGUACGCACUACCCUCUAGAGCACCUUGCCGUCGGAGGCCGAGCAGUUGCCAUACCAGGUGGUGAUGCAACCAGUCAGGAUGCUCUCGUUGGUGCAUUCCCGCCACCUACUGUGCUGGAGUGUGGGCCAGAGACACUGCUAGCAGUCGCAAUGGGCGCGGUUUGUAGUAAAUGAUUUGUUGUGGGUGCGGCAUGUAAUAACCGUAGUCUGCAGAUAUACAUUAUUGAGGCGUUUGGGUAGCCAGGCAAUCCAUAUCAAAGAUGAUCUAUUAUAUUGACAAGAAAACUGAGUUGACUGUUGAUUCAAUGAUUUUUAUUUUAUUUAUUUAUUUCACCUUUAUUUAACCAGGUAGGCAAGUUGAGAACAAGUUCUCAUUUACAAUUGCGACCUGGAUUGAGGCAGGUGAGAUCAGGUGGGACCAUUCCAAUGAGACAGGGGGGUCACCAUUGAGACCAGGGUCUCAUUCUCAAGGGAGCCCUGUGAACAUGAACACACAAUUCAGUACAACAUAAAACAAAAUAACAACAUCAACACAAUACAACAAAUACAACAAGAUUAAUCAAAACAAACACAAUGAUCACAUCUCCCUCAAAAUUUAUCUAAACUGUCCAGCGAGUCCAGCUUCAAGGUGGCCUGAAGGCUAUUCCGCCCUAUGGGAUUCCCAAUCACGGCCGGUUGUGAUACAGCCUGGAAUCGAACCAGGGUCUGUAAUGAUGCCUCUUGCCCUGAGAUGCAGUGCCUUAGACUACUGUGCCAUUCGGGAGCCCUCUGCUGCAUAAAUAAUGUAAUAGGCCAGGGCGAUAUGUAUACUGUAGCUAAUAAAGUAAUACUAAGUGUAUGUUUUGAGGUAAGCUGUUAGUAGCCCAUGUGCCUCAGUGUAAUAAUUUGGUCUGUUUUCACAUCUUAAUUUCGCCUAGUGUUCUGAUUUGGUGAUGCACAUGUAACCUAUAACCUAUUUUUGCAAAAUGUAAUCAUUGAAUAUUGUAAGAGCUUUCAUUGUCUGCUUAUAUAGCCCCUUCUGACUUGAUGUACAGGCAGAACACUGUAAGAACGGCCCAUGUUCUGAAUUCUGUCACUGUACAUUUCAAAAGCGCUGAACAAAUAGUUACAUUGACAACGUCCGUCUUAGCUCGCUCAACGUCUUAAUCAAAAUGACGGAUUGCCUCUUAUCCGCUUGUCUUUCCCUUAUGCCAUAGUUUCUACAUCGUAAUUGUCAGUAGAAACCACAUUUGUUAAAGCAAGUCAGUCAUAUCACCUGUUUUUUCUAAAGGCAGUAAAUGAGACUGAAUUAUAUGUUUCCCUGCCAGACAAGGCUCUGCUGAUAGCCAGGUGUAGCAGUGGUGUAGUGCAAUUCAUGUAUUGUUUAAUGUUGUGUAGUGGCUUAGCUGGCAUGCAUCCCACUUUCUUUCUUUUUUUUUUUUUCUUUUUUGGGGGCACACCAAGAUUUACAUGCUAAAAUUGCCACUGCCCAUAUCAAUAAAGCCACACUGCGGUUUUCCUGCUGUUCAAUUUUUUUUUUCAACCCAAAUAAAUGCCUGUAUUAUUCAAUCAUAACUCAAAAUAUAAUACUGUAUCAGUC